rnacentral:piRNA from 1 species
UUCUAUGAAUAAUGGUGGUCUUUCUUGGG